GAUGAACGCUGGCGGCGUGCUUAACACAUGCAAGUCGAACGGAAAGGCCCAAGCUUGCUUGGGUGCUCGAGUGGCGAACGGGUGAGUAACACGUGGGUGAUCUGCCCUGCACUUUGGGAUAAGCCUGGGAAACUGGGUCUAAUACCGGAUAGGACCAUCGUUUAGUGUCGGUGGUGGAAAGUUUUUCGGUGUGGGAUGAGCUCGCGGCCUAUCAGCUUGUUGGUGGGGUAAUGGCCUACCAAGGCGUCGACGGGUAGCCGGCCUGAGAGGGUGUACGGCCACAUUGGGACUGAGAUACGGCCCAGACUCCGACGGGAGGCAGCAGUGGGGAAUAUUGCACAAUGGGCGCAAGCCUGAUGCAGCGACGCCGCGUGGGGGAUGACGGCCUUCGGGUUGUAAACUCCUUUCGCCAAGGACGAAGCGUUUUGUGACGGUACUUGGUGAAGAAGCACCGGCUAACUACGUG
rnacentral:rRNA from 1 species